UGGAAAUGUAGAAUUUGUUUCCAUGGUAACUUUCAGACUUCAAGGCUUGUGGGAAGAAGACUGGUGCUGCCACUGUCACUGAGGGGCUUGGCUUGGAGAAGGUUGGCAUUGGCUCCAUCAGACAUGGAUACAGCUUCUGGAGUCUUCUGGAGUCAUGGAAUCACAGAAUCAACUAGGUUGGAAAAGACCUUUGAGGUCAUCAACUCUAACCUCUGACCUAACAUCGUCAUAUCAACUGAACCAUGGCACUGAGUACCACGUCCAGUCUAUUUUUAAACACCUCCAGGGACAGUGACUCCAGCACCUCCCUGGGUAGCUCGAUCCAAUGCCCAGCCACUCUUUUCUUUAUGAAUUUUUUUAUGACCUCUAGCUUAAACUUUCCCUGGUGAAGCUGAAGACUGUGUCCUCUCCUCCUGUUGCUGGUUGCCUGGAGGGACAAUAGGAAGACACCAGAUCAAAUUUCUGGGAGAAAGGAGGCUUCAAUGGUGAAUACAAUUACUGCAAACCGAGCUGCCUUCUCUGCCUACCGGUAUUCUCUGCCUUUUGAUAUUUAUUUCUCACAUGCUCCAGUAUGCUGCUGAUGGUGUGCGGUCUUGUAGAACUAGUUCCUGAAGUUGCUUUAUUUCCUGAAGAGAAAAUAGAAAUAAUUUUUCACAGAUAUCAGGUUUAAUGGACGUUUUAGUAGAAAGUCUGGAUCUGCUCUGCUAAAAAUAUGACUCUAAUCUGUCAACCCUUGUUCAUGUGAAAAAAUCUUGUUGAAGUGAUGAGGCUCCGUGAAAUAAUAACUGUGGGAGCAGAGGUUGCCACGUCAUGUCUGAUCUGAUCUGGGCUGCGGCAUUUUUUUCCUUCUAGCUAUAUGCUUUGUUGAAAGAUCAAACGAAGCCAUGAAAAUGAUGGUAAGAUACUGUAAAGGAGAGUACGUCUCAGUAUUUCUAUCAUCUUGUAUCAUGUGCAAGAGCGACAGCUGUUUUCUCCCCUACUAUGAAGACACAGAUGCAUAUUAAACUAUGGUUUCUGGCUGCCUUUCAGAACAAUAAGAAACUACACACCUGUCAGCUCUUGGCAAGCAGGAAUGGUAAAAUUACUAACUUUGUUUCCACAGCAUUCUCUCACUGACAAACACACCACUGGCUUAAUUUUUCUCUCCAUCACUUCUCAAAAGGCUUAGAUUUCUCCCCAGAGGCACAGAAGAAUUAAGCAGUUUUACUACUGCUUCUCAUAAAUGACUUACUUUUUAGAGAGCCUAGGUUUUCAUGCUAGGUUUGUUUUAUUGAAGCUUUUCUUCUGGAGUAAUUUUUUUUUCCAAUCAGUGUUUUGCAUCUGUAAGCCUUCGUCCUAUAUAGCACCCUCCUUUCCUAAGGCAAUCCAAAAACCCUCAAGCUAAUGGCUCAUUUAGUGAUCAAUUUGUCAAAUAAUAUUCACAGAUGUUUUUCUUGUAGUAUGGUGCAGGUAAUACCCAUGUGUAUGAUUUCUUCUCCUAAGUGGCUAGGUAGUGCAUUUGUUUUGUACAGUGCUGUAUGGAGUUCUCCAGCAGCCAAGUUUUCCUUUUGCCUAUCAAGCUUUAAAACUAAAUUCUGUUUGAGAUAUAGAAAUAUGAAUGAACAUUGGAUAAAAUUUCUGCCCUUAAGAAAAGAUCCUUAAGCACAGGACCUUAAGGAGCUGCAACUGAUUCUUAAUGUGGAAUUAAGUGUUGACUUUCUAUCUUGACUCCUCAUUUCUAGCUUUUGUUAUCUUGGCUACAAGAUUGUAAAAGUUAUAAGAAGACUGGUAGUCUUUUUGUUAUUUGUUUGGGGUUUUGUUUGUUUGUUUUGUUUGUGGUUCCCUCUCUGCCCCGUCUGCCUAUAUUGCCAA